CUUGAAUGUACUUUGGAAUGUGAAAUAGUAUUCACACUAUAUUUUUCUUUCUUUUUUCUUUGAGACAGGGUCUCAUUUUGUCACCAAGGCUGGAGUGCAAUGGUGCAUUGGCACAAUCACAGUUGACUGCAGCCUUGACCUCCUGGGCUCAAGCAAUCUUCCCACCUUAGCCUCCUGAGCAGCUGGGACUGGGACUAUAGGCACACCCUACCAUGCCUGGCUAUUUUGUGUAAGUGUGUGGAAAUGGCCUCUGACUACAUUGCCCAGCCUGGUCUUAAACUCCUGAGCUAAAGCAUCCUCCCACCUUGGCCUUCCAAAGUGAUGGGAUUACAGAUGUGAACAACUGCACCCAGCUCUUAAACAAGCUUAUGAAUCAAGAACCACGUUCCAUAAAGAAAGUAUUAAGGACCCUAUUGCUUGUUAUCUGAUGAACAAAAAUCAUUUCCACACAACUCUUGAUCCAAUUUUUCUACAUUAAAUUCCUUCCAAAUGGAUUUGGUAAGCAAUGUAAACCCUGGCCAAAUUUUGAGGUAGGCGGUUUGUUUUUAAUGCUGUCUACCUUUUGUGAAGGAGCAAGUGACAUAAAGGUAACUAGAUAACUUGUGCAGAGUAAAGACAAAAGUGAAGGAAAUUAUUAGCAUCCUGCCUGUUUUGGAUCAUAGAGGACACUUCGUCAAUUGGUGCAAGGCAUAAAUCUGUCAGGCAGCAGCCAAAACAUACCACACAUCUACAGUGAGACGCUUACCACAACAAUUCUGUGAAAAAGGUGUGGAUGUUCCUAUUUCACAGAAAAGGAAAUAAAAGCUCAGAGGAACUAAAGAAUUUUCUACACGUCACCUGUUGCAGCAAGAAGACUCUCCAGUUGCUA
rnacentral:lncRNA from 1 species